CACUCCUACGGGAGGCAGCAGUGGGGAAUUUUGGACAAUGGGCGAAAGCCUGAUCCAGCAAUGCCGCGUGAGUGAAGAAGGCCUUCGGGUUGUAAAGCUCUUUUGUCAGGGAAGAAACGGUGAGAGCUAAUAUCUUUUGCUAAUGACGGUACCUGAAGAAUAAGCACCGGCUAACUACGUGCCAGCAGCCGCGGUAAUACGUAGGGUGCAAGCGUUAAUCGGAAUUACUGGGCGUAAAGCGUGCGCAGGCGGUUUUGUAAGUCUGAUGUGAAAUCCCCGGGCUCAACCUGGGAAUUGCAUUGGAGACUGCAAGGCUAGAAUCUGGCAGAGGGGGGUAGAAUUCCACGUGUAGCAGUGAAAUGCGUAGAUAUGUGGAGGAACACCGAUGGCGAAGGCAGCCCCCUGGGUCAAGAUUGACGCUCAUGCACGAAAGCGUGGGGAGCAAACAGGAUUAGAAACCCCUGUAGUCCCA
rnacentral:rRNA from 1 species